rnacentral:rRNA from 1 species
AUUGAACGCUGGCGGCAUGCUUUACACAUGCAAGUCGAACGGUAACAGGGAGCUUGCUCCGCUGACGAGUGGCGAACGGGUGAGUAAUGCGUCGGAACGUGCCGAGUAGUGGGGGAUAACGCAGCGAAAGUUGUGCUAAUACCGCAUACGUACUGAGGUAGAAAGUGGGGGACCUUCGGGCCUCACGCUAUUCGAGCGGCCGACGUCUGAUUAGCUAGUAGGUGAGGUAAAGGCUCACCUAGGCGACGAUCAGUAGCGGGUCUGAGAGGAUGAUCCGCCACACUGGGACUGAGACACGGCCCAGACUCCUACGGGAGGCAGCAGUGGGGAAUUUUGGACAAUGGGCGAAAGCCUGAUCCAGCCAUGCCGCGUGUGUGAAGAAGGUCUUCGGAUUGUAAAGCACUUUAAGUUGGGAGGAAGGGUCGUAACCUAAUACGUUGCGGCUUUGACGUUACCGACAGAAUGAGCACCGGCUAACUUCGUGCCAGCAGCCGCAGUAAAAC